GAGAGGUGGUGGGCGGCUUACCGCAAGGAGGAAAGUCCCCCCACCAAUAUGGGCGGGCCCCGAAAAGGGGUGUGCCGAGAGGCACGGUAACGGCACAGAAACGAUACCUGCCUAGGGAAAUGCAAUGACCCCGAAAGGGAGAGGUCACCUAGGCAGGUUGAAACGGCCGUCCCCGCUUGGUGCAAGGCGAAUGCCGCUUAGACUAAUGCCGCUAAAACAGAAGGGGGCUUACUGCCACCACUC
rnacentral:RNase_P_RNA from 1 species